UACGUAGGGUGCAAGCGUUGUCCGGAAUUAUUGGGCGUAAAGAGCGUGUAGGCGGCCAGGUAGGUCGGUUGUGAAAACUGGAGGCUCAACCUUCAGAGGUCGACCGAAACCAUCUGGCUAGAGUCCGGGAGAGGAGAGUGGAAUUCCUGGUGUAGCGGUGAAAUGCGCAGAUAUCAGGAAGAACACCAAUGGCGAAAGCAGCUCUCUGGGACGGUACUGACGCUGAGACGCGAAAGCGUGGGGAGCGAACAGG
rnacentral:rRNA from 1 species